rnacentral:rRNA from 1 species
GACGAACGCUGGCGGCGUGCUUAACACAUGCAAGUCGAACGGAAAGGCCCUGCUUUUGUGGGGUGCUCGAGUGGCGAACGGGUGAGUAACACGUGAGUAACCUGCCCUUGAUUUUGGGAUAACUUCAGGAAACUGGGGCUAAUACCGGAUAGGAGCUCCUGUUGCAUGGUGGGGGUUGGAAAGUUUCGGCGGUUGGGGAUGGACUCGCGGCUUAUCAGCUUGUUGGUGGGGUAGUGGCUUACCAAGGAUUUGAAGGGUAGCCGGCAUGAGAGGGUGACCGGCCACAUUGGGACUGAGAGACGGCCCAGACUCCUACGGGAGGCAGCAGUGGGGAAUAUUGCACAAUGGGCGCAAGCCUGAUGCAGCAACGCCGCGUGCGGGAUGACGGCCUUCGGGUUGUAAACCGCUUUCGCCUGUGACGAAGCGUGAGUGACGGUAAUGGGUAAAGAAGCACCGGCUAACUACGUG